rnacentral:rRNA from 1 species
UAAGGAAUAUUGGUCAAUGGGCGGAAGCCUGAACCAGCCAUGCCGCGUGCAGGAAGACGGCCCUACGGGUUGUAAACUGCUUUUACAGGGGAAUAAACCUUCGUAUGUAUACGAAGCUGAAUGUACUCUGAGAAUAAGGAUCGGCUAACUCCGUGCCAGCAGCCGCGGUAAUACGGAGGAUCCAAGCGUUAUCCGGAUUUAUUGGGUUUAAAGGGUGCGUAGGUGGCCUGUUAAGUCAGGGGUGAAAGACGGUAGCUCAACUAUCGCAGUGCCCUUGAUACUGAUGGGCUUGAAUGAACUAGAGGUAGGCGGAAUGUGACAAGUAGCGGUGAAAUGCAUAGAUAUGUCACAGAACACCAAUUGCGAAGGCAGCUUACUAUGGUUUUAUUGACACUGAGGCACGAAAGCGUGGGGAUCAAACA